rnacentral:rRNA from 1 species
CCUACGGGAGGCAGCAGUGGGGAAUCUUGCGCAAUGGGCGAAAGCCUGACGCAGCCAUGCCGCGUGAAUGAUGAAGGUCUUAGGAUUGUAAAAUUCUUUCACCGGGGACGAUAAUGACGGUACCCGGAGAAGAAGCCCCGGCUAACUUCGUGCCAGCAGCCGCGGUAAUACGAAGGGGGCUAGCGUUGCUCGGAAUUACUGGGCGUAAAGGGAGCGUAGGCGGAUAGUUUAGUCAGAGGUGAAAGCCCAGGGCUCAACCUUGGAAUUGCCUUUGAUACUGGCUAUCUUGAGUUUGGGAGAGGUGAGUGGAACUCCGAGUGUAGAGGUGAAAUUCGUAGAUAUUCGGAAGAACACCAGUGGCGAAGGCGACUCACUGGCCCAAUACUGACGCUGAGGCUCGAAAGCGUGGGGAGCAAACAGGAUUAGAUACCCUGGUAGUCCACGCCGUAAACGAUGAGUGCUAGUUGUCGGCAUGCAUGCAUGUCGGUGACGCAGCUAACGCAUUAAGCACUCCGCCUGGGGAGUACGGUCGCAAGAUUAAAACUCAAAUUGAAAUUGACGGCUGGNGACGNGCGACGGACGACGACGAGGGAGGAGG